UACGAAGGUCCCAAGCGUUAUCCGGAUUUAUUGGGUUUAAAGGGUGCGUAGGCGGGUUAUUAAGUCAGUGGUGAAAGCUCUCAGCCUAACUGAGAAAUUGCCAUUGAUACUGAUGAUCUUGAGUACAUUUGAAGUGGGCGGAAUGUGUCAUGUAGUGGUGAAAUACUUAGAUAUGACACAGAACACCGAUUGCGUAGGCAGCUCGCUAAACUGUAACUGACGCUGAGGCGCGAAAGCCAGGGGAGCAAACGGG
rnacentral:rRNA from 1 species